rnacentral:rRNA from 1 species
UUUUAUUUGAGAGUUUGAUCCUGGCUCAGGAUGAACGCUGGCGGCGUGCCUAACACAUGCAAGUUGAGCGAUUUACUUCGGUAAAGAGCGGCGGACGGGUGAGUAACGCGUGGGUAACCUACCCUGUACACACGGAUAACAUACCGAAAGGUAUGCUAAUACGGGAUAAUAUAUUUGAGAGGCAUCUCUUGAAUAUCAAAGGUGAGCCAGUACAGGAUGGACCCGCGUCUGAUUAGCUAGUUGGUAAGGUAACGGCUUACCAAGGCGACGAUCAGUAGCCGACCUGAGAGGGUGAUCGGCCACAUUGGAACGGAGACACGGUCCAAACUCCUACGGGAGGCAGCAGUGGGGAAUAUUGCACAAUGGGCGAAAGCCUGAUGCAGCAACGCCGCGUGAGUGAUGAAGGCCUUCGGGUCGUAAAACUCUGUCCUCAAGGAAGAUAAUGACGGUACUUGAGGAGGAAGCCCCGGCUAACUACGUGCCAGCAGCCGCGGUAAUACGUAGGGGGCUAGCGUUAUCCG